CUUGACUGUAUCCUGGAAUUGGGUUCGGGCUUUUCUUGCGCAGCCUAGGUGGGAGGCUUUGAAGAUUCCCUUCCGGGGGAAUCUGAGCCAUCAUUGAGAGACCACUCUGGAAGAGCUAGAAUCCUAAUGGUGAUCUUUGAAUCAAGACGCUUGACAGUUUCAGGUGGGCAGUUUAUCUGGGGCGGAUGCCUCCCAAAGGGUAACGGAGGUGUGCAAAGGUUCCCUCAGUCUGGACGGAAAUCAGACAUUGAGUGUAAAGGCAAAAGGGAGCUUGACUGCAAGACCUACAAGUCGAGCAGGGGCGAAAGCCGGCCUUAGUGAUCCGACGGUUCCGUGUGGAAGGGCCGUCGCUCAACGGAUAAAAGUUA
rnacentral:rRNA from 1 species